AUUGAACGCUGGCGGCAUGCCUUACACAUGCAAGUCGAACGGUAACAGGUCUUCGGAUGUUGACGAGUGGCGAACGGGUGAGUAAUACAUCGGAACGUGCCUAGUAGUGGGGAUAACUACUCGAAAGAGUGGCUAAUACCGCAUGAGAUCUACGGAUGAAAGCAGGGGAUCGCAAGACCUUGUGCUACUAGAGCGGCCGAUGGCAGAUUAGGUAGUUGGUGGGAUAAAAGCUUACCAAGCCGACGAUCUGUAGCUGGUCUGAGAGGACGAUCAGCCACACUGGGUCUGAGACACGGCCCAGACUCCUACGGGAGGCAGCAGUGGGGAAUUUUGGACAAUGGGCGAAAGCCUGAUCCAGCAAUGCCGCGUGCAGGAUGAAGGCCUUCGGGUUGUAAACUGCUUUUGUACGGAACGAAAAGCCCCGGGUUAAUACCCUGGGGUCAUGACGGUACCGUAAGAAUAAGCACCGGCUAACUACGUGCCAGCCGCCGCAGUAA
rnacentral:rRNA from 1 species